CAAGUAUUCGGUUUCAAUGACACACCCUUUAUUUCCAAUGAAGUUGACUACAACUCGUAUUCCAACUGAUGGGAUGAUAAGUGGAGUACCAGGGAGAAGGAUAAAGACAAAUUCUUUCUUUUUCUACCACAUAUUCAGUAAGAUAUUCAACUGAACAAUGCCAUUCUCGCUGAAGAUAAGCACAAAUCUAUUUUUAAAUUUGAAUGUCAGCUGCAGCACUAACUUUACCUUGACUAUUCAAUUUGAAGCUUGACUGUUUCUGGAUUGACUUGGUAAAUAUUCUUGUUAUUGAAAAAUUGGAACCUUGUUAGUGUAAACCUUGCAAUGGCAGGAACUGGCAUUUACCAACUCUGGCGCAAAUUGCGAUUUGUCUGUCUACCGUCAAGUUGAUUCCUUAACACAUUAAACUAGAAGCAUGUAUCUGAAGACUAUGAAAGAACUUCAACAAGACCAAGAGUUGCUAUGAGUGGAAGUUAGUCAAUUGAAAAGCCAAAUGAAUCAGAUCAUGGAAAUCAUGCAAGUCUUAUUGAAGAAAGAAUGCAACCUUCCUCCGAUUGUUACAAAGAAAGUGGAUACUCCUUUAGUCUUUUCCAUUGCAACCAUCUGUUAUCCGGGUAAACUGUCCGGAUUUCAAAAUCCAAACUACACACACCAUAGCAAAAGUGUUCAUGCACAUACCCUAACCCUCAAAUGUUCCAAAUUGUUACCAAAUCUAAUUAGGACCAAACAAAUAUUACAUUUCUAUUGGAGAUUUCAUAAUGUAGCGUAGUUAUAACCUAUUAAGGAAUUGUUAUCUCUAUAUUAUUGUAUGCUUUGUCUGUUUGUUUGUUUUUUGGAUGCUUGGUGGUUCCUCUGUGGUGAGAUAAGUCUUAUAUCCGAACUUGAGUGUACAUUAAGAUAGGAUGAU